rfam:Gossypium hirsutum cultivar TM-1 chromosome 17, whole genome shotgun sequence
AUCCCAUGAUGAGGAUACUUACGAAGCAAUUCCUUGAAUCAUUCCCGUGUCUUGUAUAAGGACUUAUCAUCUAAUUGUUGGAAAAUAGUUAUCUCAUUUCGCAACUU